AAGUUAUACUAUGCUGAUGCAAAGCUGAUGUUGACAAUGUGGUUUUCAUCCUGCAGUUCUGGGGGAUGGCGUGAACAUUUUUACCUGUGGUAUCUGAGGGCUACUGCCUGUUGGGCAGAUCAGAACUGAGACCUGGCAUCAGCUGUUUUCUGCAGGAAGCCAUAUGUGGCAACAAGAAGAAGGAGGCAUAAUCCCUGUUAUCUCUGUUGGCAAAGUCAACAUCAGGGAGAGGUAAGGACAUCUGGGGGCUCUUCAACAUCUUCAACAGAAUCUUUGCUUGGAUUUUCUGUUUGUUUGGGGAUACUUUCUUUUCUCCAAGGAUGUAUUUGAGUUCUUUCUGCAGUCAAUCAGGGAUCAAGCAAACUGGUGAGAAGAGUGUAGAUGAACAGAUGUAAGUAUCUGUAGAGUGAAAAGAAGACUGAGAGAAGAAACAUGCAAGGAACAAAGAAGAAAGACAACUGCCACCCAAAAUGGAGCAACUGGAAAACUGUAAGUACAGUCAUGUAUUUCUAACAUUCAUAUUAAUAUAAUGCUGAGAUAAACUUUUAACAAGGUAAUCUAAUUCCUAGAUCUCUCUGAAGUUGGAGGAGCCAGUGUAAAUGUAUGCUGCUUUAAAUGAGAAAAAUGUAGGCCUCUGAGUGUGGUAUAUGUUUGUGGUCUUGGCAUGUGUCCUAAAGGCCAGACAUUUACAGAAGGGAGAGACUUUAUAAAAGCCUAUACAUACACAA
rnacentral:lncRNA from 1 species